CUGAUGUUAGCGGCGGACGGGUGAGUAACACGUGGAUAACCUACCUAUAAGACUGGGAUAACUUCGGGAAACCGGAGCUAAUACCGGAUAAUAUUUUGAACCGCAUGGUUCAAAAGUGAAAGACGGUCUUGCUGUCACUUAUAGAUGGAUCCGCGCUGCAUUAGCUAGUUGGUAAGGUAACGGCUUACCAAGGCAACGAUGCAUAGCCGACCUGAGAGGGUGAUCGGCCACACUGGAACUGAGACACGGUCCAGACUCCUACGGGAGGCAGCAGUAGGGAAUCUUCCGCAAUGGGCGAAAGCCUGACGGAGCAACGCCGCGUGAGUGAUGAAGGUCUUCGGAUCGUAAAACUCUGUUAUUAGGGAAGAACAUAUGUGUAAGUAACUGUGCACAUCUUGACGGUACCUAAUCAGAAAGCCACGGCUAACUACGUGCCAGCAGCCGCGGUAAUACGUAGGUGGCAAGCGUUAUCCGGAAUUAUUGGGCGUAAAGCGCGCGUAGGCGGUUUUUUAAGUCUGAUGUGAAAGCCCACGGCUCAACCGUGGAGGGUCAUUGGAAACUGGAAAACUUGAGUGCAGAAGAGGAAAGUGGAAUUCCAUGUGUAGCGGUGAAAUGCGCAGAGAUAUGGAGGAACACCAGUGGCGAAGGCGACUUUCUGGUCUGUAACUGACGCUGAUGUGCGAAAGCGUGGGGAUCAAACAGGAUUAGAUACCCUGGUAGUCCACGCCGUAAACGAUGAGUGCUAAGUGUUAGGGGGUUUCCGCCCCUUAGUGCUGCAGCUAACGCAUUAAGCACUCCGCCUGGGGAGUACGACCGCAAGGUUGAAACUCAAAGGAAUUGACGGGGACCCGCACAAGCGGUGGAGCAUGUGGUUUAAUUCGAAGCAACGCGAAGAACCUUACCAAAUCUUGACAUCCUUUGACAACUCUAGAGAUAGAGCUUUCCCCUUCGGGGGACAAAGUGACAGGUGGUGCAUGGUUGUCGUCAGCUCGUGUCGUGAGAUGUUGGGUUAAGUCCCGCAACGAGCGCAACCCUUAAGCUUAGUUGCCAUCAUUAAGUUGGGCACUCUAAGUUGACUGCCGGUGACAAACCGGAGGAAGGUGGGGAUGACGUCAAAUCAUCAUGCCCCUUAUGAUUUGGGCUACACACGUGCUACAAUGGACAAUACAAAGGGCAGCGAAACCGCGAGGUCAAGCAAAUCCCAUAAAGUUGUUCUCAGUUCGGAUUGUAGUCUGCAACUCGACUACAUGAAGCUGGAAUCGCUAGUAAUCGUAGAUCAGCAUGCUACGGUGAAUACGUUCCCGGGUCUUGUACACACCGCCCGUCACACCACGAGAGUUUGUAACACCCGAAGCCGGUGGAGUAACCUUUUAGGAGCUAGCCGUCGAAGGUGGGACAAAUGAUUGGGGUGAAGUCGUAACAAGGUAGCCGUAUCGGAAGGUGCGGCUGGAUCACCUCCUUU
rnacentral:rRNA from 1 species